rnacentral:rRNA from 1 species
AUUGAACGCUGGCGGCAGGCCUAACACAUGCGAGUCGAGCGGAUGAAGGGAGCUUGCUCCUGGAUUCAGCGGCGGACGGGUGAGCAAUGCCUAGGAAUCUGCCUGGUAGUGGGGGAUAACGUCCGGAAACGGGCGCUAAUACCGCAUACGUCCUGAGGGAGAAAGUGGGGGAUCUUCGGACCUCACGCUAUCAGAUGAGCCUAGGUCGGAUUAGCUAGUUGGUGGGGUAAAGGCCUACCAAGGCGACGAUCCGUAACUGGUCUGAGAGGAUGAUCAGUCACACUGGAACUGAGACACGGUCCAGACUCCUACGGGAGGCAGCAGUGGGGAAUAUUGGACAAUGGGCGAAAGCCUGAUCCAGCCAUGCCGCGUGUGUGAAGAAGGUCUUCGGAUUGUAAAGCACUUUAAGUUGGGAGGAAGGGCAGUAAGUUAAUACCUUGCUGUUUUGACGUUACCAACAGAAUAAGCACCGGCUAACUUCGUG